rnacentral:misc_RNA from 1 species
GUCGUAACAAGGUUUCCGUAGGUGAACCUGCGGAAGGAUCAUUACCACAAUUUUGGAAGAAGGAGGGGGGUCUGUUGGACUCUACUCCUUUUUAAGAGUGGGGGUUGUGCUUGGUUGCACGAUCCCUGCUUGCGUUCCGUGAAUCUGUGUGAGUUUGUCUGGUGGUGUUCGCACUGCCAGCAAUCUUCUCUAUGCCAUUUGGCUAGAUUUCUUAUUCUAUAGCUGAUGUUAAACGAUACGAACAUUCAAAACAAACGAAAUGUCAUAACACUUUCAGCAACGAAUGUCUAGGCUCCCAUAACGAUGAAGAACGCAGC